UAGCUCAGUUUUCUCUUCAUUCACACAUGAAUCUUUCACCUUUUACUAAAGAUUUCUGUGGAGAGGAACAGUGAUGAGUUCUACUUAUGUUUGUGGGCUUGGCUGUUGCAAAGCU